rnacentral:rRNA from 1 species
UACGUAGGGGGCUAGCGUUGUCCGGAAUCAUUGGGCGUAAAGAGCGUGUAGGCGGCUCGGUAAGUCCGCUCUGAAAGCCCGGGGCUCAACCCCGGGAGGCGGGCGGAUACUGUCGGGCUAGAGUCCGGAAGAGGCGAGUGGAAUUCCUGGUGUAGCGGUGAAAUGCGCAGAUAUCAGGAGGAACACCAAUAGCGAAGGCAGCUCGCUGGGACGGUACUGACGCUGAGACGCGAAAGCGUGGGUAGCAAACAGG